GAUGAACGCUAGCGGCAGGCUUAAUACAUGCAAGUCGAGGGGCAUCAAGGUACACGAAAGUGUAUUGUUGGCGACCGGCGGACGGGUGAGUAAUAGGUAGGUAACCUACCUCAUACUGAGGCAUAGCUGGGAGAAAUUCCAGGUAAUUCCUCAUGAGGUUAUAUGACACAUGUGAUAUAAUCAAAGGUAUCGCAAGGUACUGGUAUGAGAUGGGCUUACUGACCAUUAGCUAGUUGGUGAGAUAAGAGCUCACCAAGGCGAAGAUGGUUAGGGGUUUUGAGAGAGAGAUCCCCCACAUUGGAACUGAGAUACGGUCCAGACUCCUACGGGAGGCAGCAGUAGGGAAUAUUGGGCAAUGGGCGAAAGCCUGACCCAGCCAUGCCGCGUGAAGGAAGACGGCCUUAUGGGUUGUAAACUUCUUUACUACGCGAAUAGAGGUUAGUACGAGAUACUAAUAGGAAGGUAGUGUAGUAAAAGCACCGGCUAACUCCGUGCC
rnacentral:rRNA from 1 species